UACAGAGGGUGCGAGCGUUGUUCGGAAUCAUUGGGCGUAAAGCGCUUGUAGGCGGCUUGUUAAGUCGCGUGUGAAAUCCCUUGGCUCAACCAAGGAAGUGCGCGCGAAACUGGCGAGCUCGAGUGCCGGAGAGGGUCGCGGAAUUCCCGGUGUAGAGGCGAAAUUCGUAGAUAUCGGGAGGAACACCAGUGGCGAAGGCGGCGACCUGGACGGACACUGACGCUGAGACGCGAAAGCGUGGGGAGCAAACAGG
rnacentral:rRNA from 1 species